UAACGACUGAACCAGCAAUUUGGAGGAAUGUUAAUAUGUAAAACAUAUGUUGAUUUAUUCAAUUAAAGUUCUAGCAGGUUAAUGAUAAUGACAAUUACCUGUCUAUAAGUCUUGACCAAAUCUUGUGCCAGCUGUCGCGGCAAGACGAGAAAGGCUGCGUUAUUCAUCUUUAAUAGGUUUAAAGGGUACCUAGACGGUAAAAUUAACUAAAAAUAAUUAAAGUAAUUUACUAGAGUUAAUAUAUUAAGAGGUUAGAAUUGAUGGUGGUAAAGAUAAUAUUUAUUGAUACCAUGAAGGACUGAUAAAAGCGAAAGCAAUCCUUUAGUAUUAACUGACGUUGAGGGACGAAGGCUUGGGUAGCAAACAGGAUUAGAUACCCUAAUAGUCCGGGCAGAAAAUUAUGAAUGUCAUAGACCAAUAAAAAAAAAUAUUUGGUCUAUAAAUGAAAGUGUAAGCAUUCCACCUCAAGAGUAAUGUGGCAACGCUGGAACUGAAAUCAUUAGACCGUUUCUGAAACCAGUAGUGAAGUAUGUUAUUUAAUUCGAUAUUCCACGAAAAACCUUACCACAACUUCCUUGAUUAUUUAUAAUAUUAAUAUAGAACAAGUGUUGCACGGCUGUCUCCAGUUAAUGUCGUGAGAGAGAGAUUAUUACAUCCUAAAAAUUAACGUAAACCCUUAUUUUAUUUGAUGUAAUAAAAU
rnacentral:rRNA from 2 species